AACAAAAUUAUUAAGUGUAUAGUGGCUCCUCUUCAAGCAAAGUAUUUUGAUGGAGCGUGGGAAAGAGCACGCAUCUCCUAUCACACCUCCUACCACAAAUCCAUCAACAAAUCCAUCAAAUCAGAUGAUACCAAGACCAUUUUAUACAUAUUUUUCAACACCUCCUUGCAUGGAUACAUCUAUCAAUCCUGCAAAUCAGGUGAUACCAAUGUCUUUUUAUCCGGAUUUCUCAAGCUAUAUGCAUGAGGGCCAUACACCAAUGCCACAUGCUUGGUUCCCACCAUUCUUACCUCGUCCUAGUGCCAACCCAACUCCAUGGACUUGUCAGUCAUCAACCUCCUCUCCGAUUGGUUUAAACACUGCAAGCUCAAGCCAUGUGGAAGAAAUUCAAGAGCCAACACC